GAUGAACGCUAGCGGCAGGCCUAACACAUGCAAGUCGAGGGGUAGAGGAAGCUUGCUUCCUUGAGACCGGCGCACGGGUGCGUAACGCGUAUGCAAUCUACCUUUUACAGAGGGAUAGCCCAGAGAAAUUUGGAUUAAUACCCCAUAGUGUUAUGAUGUGGCAUCAUAUUAUAACUAAAGUUCCAACGGUACAAGAUGAGCAUGCGUCCCAUUAGCUAGUUGGUGUGGUAACGGCAUACCAAGGCAACGAUGGGUAGGGGUCCUGAGAGGGAGAUCCCCCACACUGGUACUGAGACACGGACCAGACUCCUACGGGAGGCAGCAGUGAGGAAUAUUGGUCAAUGGGCGCAAGCCUGAACCAGCCAUGCCGCGUGCAGGAUGACGGUCCUAUGGAUUGUAAACUGCUUUUGUACAGGAAGAAACACUCCCUCGUGAGGGAGCUUGACGGUACUGUAAGAAUAAGGAUCGGCUAACUCCGUGCCAGCCGCCGCGGUAAAAC
rnacentral:rRNA from 1 species